rnacentral:rRNA from 1 species
UACGAAGGGGGGCUAGCGUUGCUCGGAAUGACUGGGCGUAAAGGGCGCGUAGGCGGUUCGUACAGUCAGACGUGAAAUUCCCGGGCUCAACCUGGGGGCUGCGUUUGAUACGUACGGGCUUGAGUUCGGAAGAGGGUCGUGGAAUUCCCAGUGUAGAGGUGAAAUUCGUAGAUAUUGGGAAGAACACCGGUGGCGAAGGCGGCGACCUGGUCCGAUACUGACGCUGAGGCGCGAAAGCGUGGGGAGCAAACAGG